CUAGACCGAUGGAGUCUGGACAUGGGAAUGAAUAGAAGAGAGAAACUUUCUUGCUCUCUUAAAUGAAGCACAUGGCCAGAGGAUGCCCAAGUCAGGCCCAUGUAAUAGUAUGCGGAAUAUUCAAGUUGGGAAUAAGCAGAGAAUUCUGUUCAGCUGUCUUCCGGUAGAGCUUUUUCUAGCCUGCAAUAUGUAGAUGUGAUGGAUGAGUUGAGAGGACAGAGAGAAGAUAGCCAACUGUUGAAGAUUUU
rnacentral:lncRNA from 1 species